rnacentral:rRNA from 1 species
AUUGAACGCUGGCGGCAGGCCUAACACAUGCAAGUCGAGCGGAUGAAGGGAGCUUGCUCCUGGAUUCAGCGGCGGACGGGUGAGUAAUGCCUAGGAAUCUGCCUGGUAGUGGGGGAUAACGUCCGGAAACGGGCGCUAAUACCGCAUACGUCCUGAGGGAGAAAGUGGGGGAUCUUCGGACCUCACGCUAUCAGAUGAGCCUAGGUCGGAUUAGCUAGUUGGUGGGGUAAAGGCCUACCAAGGCGACGAUCCGUAACUGGUCUGAGAGGAUGAUCAGUCACACUGGAACUGAGACACGGUCCAGACUCCUACGGGAGGCAGCAGUGGGGAAUAUUGGACAAUGGGCGAAAGCCUGAUCCAGCCAUGCCGCGUGUGUGAAGAAGGUCUUCGGAUUGUAAAGCACUUUAAGUUGGAAGGAAGGGCAGUAAGUUUACCUUGCUGUUUUGACGUUACCAACAGAAUAAGCACCGGCUAACUUCGUG